rnacentral:rRNA from 1 species
UACAGGGGGGGCAAGCGUUGUUCGGAAUUACUGGGCGUAAAGGGCCAGUAGGCGGCCAACUAAGUCACACGUGAAAUCCCCAGGCUUAACCUGGGAACUGCGUGUGAUACUGGAUGGCUUGAAUUCGGGAGAGGGAUGCAGAAUUCCAGGUGUAGCGGUGAAAUGCGUAGAUAUCUGGAGGAAUACCGGUGGCGAAGGCGGUUCUCUGGGCAUUACCUGACGCUGAGGAGCGAAAGUGUGGGGAGCGAACAGG